UCGCGAGUGCCGCUGGCUUUACGGGGGUGGGAGACCCUUGUGCUAAGGAGCUCGUACAGGGAGACAGAGCUCAGUCGUGCUCACGGAAGAGGGCUUGAGCGAAUAUAAGAGAAACUUCAGGUGGAAAACCCCCGAGCUGUGUCUCCCAUCCCAAGAGCAGAAGUCCCCGUGGGCAGGCCUGCGGUCGGAUCAGUUGGUAUGUUGUUUUUUAAGGAAUCACAAGAGAGCCAAACUUCAUUUCAAAGAGAAGAGUACCUUACCAUAACCCACAGAUUUCAA